rnacentral:lncRNA from 1 species
CCUGGAAGGAAUAUAAGGGCUGCUGUCCAGUGUCUUUUACAUCACGCUUUGAGGUGGCUGUCCAGGAAACUACUGCCUUGAGAAAAUUGCAUGUUUGAGUAUUUGAUGUUGGGAUUCCUCUCCACUUUCAAUGAGUCCUGAGGACCACAGUGGCAUGCCGGUUAUGGUGUCAGUAGGAUGUUGGCAAGUGAAGUUCUUUAGAAAAGUUACUUAUAACUGUGAAGAAAAUUGGAAAUAAUGGUAACAUGUAAUGAUAAGAGGUGGAUGGUGGUUCCUGGAAUCAUUGAAGCCUAUGACCUGAGUAACUUAAAACAAGCACCCCCUUUGACAAAAUUUAAAGUUCCAUGGACAGACUGCAUCCAGUAACUUCUUCAAAUAUCCUCCAAUGCUUCUUAU